AGAAGUUUAAUCGUUCAAAUCGAUAUAUGACAGCGCCAGAAAUUAGUUCCUCGUAAUAACAAUCAGUUAGUUGAUAAUUGUUUUUCAGUUUUGGUAUUAUCAACACCAUUUGACUAUUCGGCAAGUAUCUAAACUAUUGUAUUUGUUUUUUAUCUAAGAUAUGACAAAAACAAUAUGUGGAUUGCUAUAAUUGAUGAAUAUCAGCUGUAGAAUGAAGAGAGAUGCAAAAAUCAUAUGAAUAUUUUUAAUUGCAGACAUGGUGAGCAAUGUCAUACCGAAAGGUAACCCAGCUCAUGAUUUACAACAAGCUAUAAUUGCUGGGAAUAGGGAGUUGGUGCUUAGUAUACUUUUACAGAAGCAUGCUGAUGUUAAUAGUCUAGUCAUUGGAAAAACAGCCCUAUCUUUAACAAUAUCGCAAAAUAAAUAUGAUUUGUUCAGCAUCCUUUUAGAAAAUGCUUCUGUUAAUGUCAAUGUUCGGAGUAAACUAAUGAAGAAUAAUUUGGAAGCGCCUAUUGUAACAGCUUGUCGAAUUUCUAAUGUUGAUAUGGUUAAGAAACUCUUACAAUUUAAGAAUUUGGAUAUAAAUGUUGUCGAUAAUCAUGGUCGAGGUGCCGUUUGGAUGUGUGCUAGACAAGGGGAGUACGACAUUUUAAAAAGCCUACUUAUAGCUGGUGCCUCAUCAGAAAUGCUACCAUCAACCUGGUCUCAAUCCCCUUUAUAUUGCGAUAUCAGGUACACUCAAAAUACAAGCAAAAUCGCCGAGCUGUUAAUUCUUAAUGGUGCUAAUGUUCGAAUAACUACACCAGCUCACCAAACAAGUCUAGCGCAUCUAGCCAUAACGCAAAAUCGUGUUCAUUUAGCUUAUUUACUAGUCCAAGCAGGUUGUUGGCUUAGUUUUGAUACAAAACUUAAAGCGGAUUUUCAUUCUAAAGCUCUAGACGAAUAUUUAACUGCAGAUGACCAAGAUUGGCUUACAAUGGAAAUAAAUAAUCCACCCAGCCUACAACGUCAGUGCUCCAUAUCUAUCCGAACACAGUUGUUCAAGGCAACAAAAGGAUCAUUUUUCCUUAAAACUCUCUAUAAGUUACCCUUACCAAAACCGCUUUUAGACAAUAUCAGUUUAUUAAAUAUUGUUGAUAAACAAAUUUCGAACGAUAUGUUUUUUAAUGAUUGAAGUUUUAAGGUGAUUAUUUCUUUUUUUUCUUUUAGUAUUAUCUUAAUCUGGUCGAAUUGUAUCCUCGAAUAAAAAA
rnacentral:misc_RNA from 1 species